UAGGGAAUCUUCCGCAAUGGGCGAAAGCCUGACGGAGCAACGCCGCGUGAGUGAUGAAGGUCUUCGGAUCGUACAACUCUGUUAUUAGGGAAGAACAAAUGUGUAAGUAACUAUGCACGUCUUGACGGUACCUAAUCAGAAAGCCACGGCUAACUACGUGCCAGCAGCCGCGGUAAUACGUAGGUGGCAAGCGUUAUCCGGAAUUAUUGGGCGUAAAGCGCGCGUAGGCGGUUUUUUAAGUCUGAUGUGAAAGCCCACGGCUCAACCGUGGAGGGUCAUUGGAAACUGGAAAACUUGAGUGCAGAAGAGGAAAGUGGAAUUCCAUGUGUAGCGGUGAAAUGCGCAGAGAUAUGGAGGAACACCAGUGGCGAAGGCGACUUUCUGGUCUGUAACUGACGCUGAUGUGCGAAAGCGUGGGGAUCAAACAGG
rnacentral:rRNA from 1 species